UACGGAGGGUGCAAGCGUUAUCCGGAUUCACUGGGUUUAAAGGGUGCGUAGGUGGGCAGGUAAGUCAGUGGUGAAAUCUCCGGGCUUAACUCGGAAACUGCCAUUGAUACUACCUGUCUUGAAUACCGUGGAGGUUAGCGGAAUAUGUCAUGUAGCGGUGAAAUGCUUAGAUAUGACAUAGAACACCAAUUGCGAAGGCAGCUGGCUAGACGAAUAUUGACACUGAGGCACGAAAGCGUGGGGAGCAAACAGG
rnacentral:rRNA from 1 species